GGGACACGUGGUAUCCUGUCUGAAUAUGGGGGGACCAUCCUCCAAGGCUAAAUACUCCUGACUGACCGAUAGUGAACCAGUACCGUGAGGGAAAGGCGAAAAGAACCCCGGCGAGGGGAGUGAAAAAGAACCUGAAACCGUGUACGUACAAGCAGUGGGAGCCUCUUUAUGGGGUGACUGCGUACCUUUUGUAUAAUGGGUCAGCGACUUAUAUUCUGUAGCAAGGUUAACCGUAUAGGGGAGCCGAAGGGAAACCGAGUCUUAACUGGGCGUUAAGUUGCAGGGUAUAGACCCGAAACCCGGUGAUCUAGCCAUGGGCAGGUUGAAGGUUGGGUAACACUAACUGGAGGACCGAACCGACUAAUGUUGAAAAAUUAGCGGAUGACCUGUGGCUGGGGGUGAAAGGCCAAUCAAACCGGGAGAUAGCUGGUUCUCCCCGAAAGCUAUUUAGGUAGCGCCUCGUGAACUCAUCUUCGGGGGUAGAGCACUGUUUCGGCUAGGGGGCCAUCCCGGCUUACCAACCCGAUGCAAACUACGAAUACCGAAGAAUGUUAUCACGGGAGACACACGGCGGGUGCUAACGUCCGUCGUGAAGAGGGAAACAACCCAGACCGCCAGCUAAGGUCCCAAAGUCAUGGUUAAGUGGGAAACGAUGUGGGAAGGCACAGACAGCCAGGAUGUUGGCUUAGAAGCAGCCAUCAUUUAAAGAAAGCGUAAUAGCUCACUGGUCGAGUCGGCCUGCGCGGAAGAUGUAACGGGGCUAAACCAUGCACCGAAGCUGCGGCAGCGACACUAUGUGUUGUUGGGUAGGGGAGCGUUCUGUAAGCCGUUGAAGGUGUGCUGUGAGGCAUGCUGGAGGUAUCAGAAGUGCGAAUGCUGACAUAAGUAACGAUAAAGCGGGUGAAAAGCCCGCUCGCCGGAAGACCAAGGGUUCCUGUCCAACGUUAAUCGGGGCAGGGUGAGUCGACCCCUAAGGCGAGGCCGAAAGGCGUAGUCGAUGGGAAACAGGUUAAUAUUCCUGUACUUGGUGUUACUGCGAAGGGGGGACGGAGAAGGCUAUGUCAGCCGGGCGACGGUUGUCCCGGUUUAAGCAUGUAGGCGGAGGUUCCAGGUAAAUCCGGUACCUU
rnacentral:rRNA from 2 species